UACGUAGGGGGCAAGCGUUGUCCGGAAUCAUUGGGCGUAAAGCGAGCGUAGGCGGCCCGAUAAGUCUGCUGUGAAAGUCAACGGCUCAACCGUUGAAAGCCGGUGGAUACUGUCGGGCUAGAGUUCGGAAGAGGCAAGUGGAAUUCCUGGUGUAGCGGUGGAAUGCGCAGAUAUCAGGAGGAACACCCAUAGCGAAGGCAGCUUGCUGGGACGAUACCGACGCUAAGGCUCGAAAGCGUGGGGAGCGAACAGG
rnacentral:rRNA from 1 species